ACGCUGGCGGCGUGCCUAAUACAUGCAAGUCGAACGGAGAUUAAGUAGCUUGCUAUUUAAUCUUAGUGGCGCACGGGUGAGUAAUAUAUAGCUAACUUGCCCAUUACUAAGGGACAACAGUUGGAAACGACUGCUAAUACCUUAUACUCCGUAUCUAUAUAAGUAGAUACGGGAAAGUUUUUCGGUAAUGGAUAGGGCUAUAUCGUAUCAGCUAGUUGGUAAGGUAAUGGCUUACCAAGGCUAUGACGCGUAACUGGUCUGAGAGGAUGAUCAGUCACACUGGAACUGAGACACGGUCCAGACUCCUACGGGAGGCAGCAGUAGGGAAUAUUGCUCAAUGGGGGAAACCCUGAAGCAGCAACGCCGCGUGGAGGAUGACACUUUUCGGAGCGUAAACUCCUUUUCUUGGGAAAGAAUUAUGACGGUACCCAAGGAAUAAGCACCGGCUAACUCCGUGCCAGCAGCCGCGGUAAUACGGAGGGUGCAAGCGUUACUCGGAAUCACUGGGCGUAAAGGACGCGUAGGCGGAUUAUCAAGUCUCUUGUGAAAUCUAACGGCUUAACCGUUAAACUGCUUGGGAAACUGAUAAUCUAGAGUAAGGGAGAGGCAGAUGGAAUUCUUGGUGUAGGGGUAAAAUCCGUAGAGAUCAAGAAGAAUACCCAUUGCGAAAGCGAUCUGCUGGAACUUAACUGACGCUAAUGCGUGAAAGCGUGGGGAGCAAACAGGAUUAGAUACCCUGGUAGUCCACGCCCUAAACGAUGUAUACUAGUUGUUGCUUCGCUAGUCGGGGCAGUAAUGCACCUAACGGAUUAAGUAUACCGCCUGGGGAGUACGGUCGCAAGAUUAAAACUCAAAGGAAUAGACGGGGACCCGCACAAGCGGUGGAGCAUGUGGUUUAAUUCGAAGAUACGCGAAGAACC
rnacentral:rRNA from 1 species